rnacentral:lncRNA from 1 species
UGGACUCCAGUCUUGUGACGCACUCCAAGGAUCCUGGAUCCAGAUGACCUGGGAUGGUCAUCAAAACUCAGGCGAAUCCUGCCGACUACGGGCUCUUUUAAAUCUCAAACUUGUUGCAUCUACACUGAUCUCUAUUAAGAGGAUUUCCAGGUCUGGCGAUGUAUUUCAGGUCUGGCUAGUGUAUCAUGAGGUUCACUUCCAUUUUCUUUCUUUUUUUUUUUUUUUAAUGCUGCACCUUCGCCGCAGUCUCUUUUCGGUGAAGCUCACAUUCUGGUCUAGUCUUUAUUUCCUGUCUUACAUGUUUGGUUAGAAGCUUCAGAGCCAGCCGACCCAUCACGCAGGCGCAGCGAUCGUUGACUUGGCAGCGAACGAAGCAAUUCCAGGCUUGGGCGCCGGUCACAUGGCAUAUAAUAAAUACCGGAAACAAUACUGUACUCAGAGGCUAAGGGAACUUCAGAAACUUCCAGUACUGUCCCUGAACUACUUGCACUGCCUCAUCCUCGUUAGUAUAGUGACGAUAUUCAGGGCUGAGGAGACGACCUGAAUUCAGUUUCCAGAACCUUCAUUGGACGACUUGCAAAUCUAGUUCCAGGGGAAUCCAAUGUUGUGUUUUGAACAUUGUGGGCAACUGCGCUGAUGUCAUAACUCCUCCGAGAUACAUAGGUCUUACUCUGUAGCCUACCUUGGCUUGAGACUCAAGGCAAUCCUACCUCGGCCUCUGAGUACAUCAUUUGCCAGAACCAUACAACUCAGCUGAAGCACUUGUAUGUACAUGUAGUAAAUUUGUCCAACUGAUGUGACAGGAGGCCCCUGGAGGACAGAGGGGAAUGGUGUCUACAGAAGGAGAAGGCGGCAGUCCAGAGGAGGUGGCUUUGGUGGAAAGGAUGCAGCUGUUUAAAAAUUGAAAGAUUUUACAGGAUUCUUCCUCUGGAGAGCCGACAUUCCUGAGCAAAAAAGGCGUAUUGAUAAACACU